AGCUAUCGGCAACUUAAACGGCAUUGUAAAAGACUUGGUCUAAAGAGGCGGCCAAACUGGAAUCGUGCUGUCGUUCAAGCAGCUAUUUUGGCUGAAGUUCAGGGUACAGGUGGAAAUCUCGGUUGUCGGGCCAUGGCUAGUAGGUUGCGAACAAAGUAUGGAAUAAUGUUAGGGAGACAUAAGGUACUGCAAUAUCAAAACAUCAUAGAUCCCGAAGGUGUUCAGGCCAGACUGUCAAACAGGCUUUUAAGAAGAGAAUACUUUAACAGAGGUCCGAAUUUUCUAAUUCACAUUGACGGUUACGACAAGAUAAA